GUUUGGCCUUCCCCUCUAAAGACAGUGUUUAUCAUUCUACAAAACAUUCUGACUGUUCUUACUUGACAUUGAUGGAAACCCAUGAACUGGAAAUUAAUGUGUGUAAACACUAUCUUAAAUGCCGUGUCAUAGUUCUUCAUUGAAUAUGAGAUUAUUUACUCCAUAAGGUGUAUUAAUCAAGGAAAUCUCCUUUUGAAUUUGAAAACCCAAUCCAG
rnacentral:misc_RNA from 1 species